ACGUAGGGUGCGAGCGUUAAUCGGAAUUAUUGGGCGUAAAGGGCGCGUAGGCGGUGCGGUAAGUCACCUGUGAAAUCUCCUGGCUCAACUGGGAGCUUGCAGGCGAAACUGCCGUGCUGGAGUGUGGGAGAGGUGCGUGGAAUUCCUGGUGUAGCGGUGAAAUGCGCAGAUAUCAGGAGGAACACCGAUGGCGAAGGCAGGUCUCUGGGCCACUACUGACGCUGAGAAGCGAAAGCAUGGGGAGCGAACAGGA
rnacentral:rRNA from 1 species